rnacentral:rRNA from 1 species
GUCGGGAGUUAGGAAAUGCAGGAGCGUUAAUAGCGUUCUUGCUUGACUAAGGCUCCAGAGGAAGCCACGGCUAACUCUGUGCCAGCAGCCGCGGUAAUACAGAGGCGGCAAGCGUUGUUCGGAAUUAUUGGGCGUAAAGAGCACGUAGGCGGCCUUGCAAGUCAGUUGUGAAAGCCUUCCGCUCAACGGAAGAAUGCCAGCUGAUACUACAGGGCUUGAGUACGGGAGGGGAGAGUGGAACUUCUGGU